rnacentral:rRNA from 1 species
AGAGAUGUGUGAUGACGCAUAUCAAUAAGCGGAGGAAAAGAAACUAACAAGGAUUCCCUUAGUAACGGCGAGUGAAGCGGGAAGAGCUCAAAUUUGAAAUCUUCAAGGUUCUACCUUGACGAAUUGUAGUUUAUAGAAGUGUUUUCUGUUAGUCAGAGUGGCAAAAGUUCUUUGGAAUAGGACAUCAUAGAGGGUGAGAAUCCCGUAUUUGGUCAUUCCUCCUAGCGUUGUGAUACACUUUCAACGAGUCGGAUUGUUUGGGAAUGCAGUCCAAAAUGGGUGGUAAAUUUCAUCUAAAGCUAAAUAUUGGCGAGAGACCGAUAGCGAACAAGUACCGUGAGGGAAAGAUGAAAAGAACUUUGAAAAGAGAGUUAAACAGUACGUGAAAUUGUCAAAAGGGAAGCGUUUGACACCAGUGUUGUUUAGUCGAAAAUCAAUUCAAUAGUUUUUGAUUCUAAGUAGUAUUGACUUCAUCAGCUUGCUGCUUUCUUCUCAGAAAUUAUUGAAUGCACUUUUCAGUUAACAAGUCAACAUCAAUUUCUUUUGUUGUAAAAGGGUAAGAGGAAGGUGGCUUGCGCUUCGGCUCAAGUGUUUAUAGCCUUUUAUCUCUGCAAUCGGAGAGAUUGAGGUCUGCAGCGUAGAUCCUUCGGGGUUAGAUACAUUGGUGCUAAGCUAUAGCCUUGUAUAGACAACUUGUUGACUAUGCUCAGUCAUGUAGCUUACUCGCUUAUGCUAUUUUACCUACGCUUAGGAUGUUGAUCUGUAGUGCGUGCGC